rnacentral:rRNA from 1 species
AACGAACGCUGGCGGCAUGCCUAACACAUGCAAGUCGAACGAGACCUUCGGGUCUAGUGGCGCACGGGUGCGUAACGCGUGGGAACCUGCCCGUAGGUUAGGAAUAACUCCCCGAAGGGGGUGCUAAUACCGGAUAAUGUCUUCGGACCAAAGAGUUAUCGCCUUUGGAUGGGCCCUCGUUGGAUUAGCUAGUUGGUAGGGUAAAAGCCUGCCAAGGCGACGAUCCAUAGCUGGUCUGAUAGGAUGAUCAGCCACACUGGGACUGAGACACGGCCCAGACUCCUACGGGAGGCAGCAGUGGGGAAUAUUGGACAAUGGGCGAAAGCCUGAUACAGCAAUGCCGCGUGAGUGAUGAAGGCCUUAGGGUUGUAAAGCUCUUUUAGCCGGGAUGAUAAUGACAGUACCGGGAGAAUAAGCACCGGCUAACUCCGUG